UAAAAAAUUACGAUUUUCGUUCAAUUUAAGUGCAACGACAUGAUUCAUUUUUAAUGAAAAUGUCAAUGAAGAAAGAAUUGGGGUCAGAAAACUUUUAAGUAGAAACUUGGAAUUUUCAAAAUCUAAUCCAGAUUUGGAUGAAAUUGGAGGCGUUAAGGUGUAGGAAAAUUUAGUAAUGAAUGAGAGAUCUAAUUGUGAAUUUUAUUACAUGAGCGGGUAGAUAAGAUGAUAAGGAAUUUGUAGAACUUUACGAAAUCGAAUUUGAACGAGUAGAACUCCCAAAAAUAAUCUUUUCGUGAAUGGGUGCAUUUUGUCUCCAUCGAGGUUGUGUAGCGGCAUUUUGGUCACUGGAGCAGAAUGGGUCCGCUGGAGCGAGCCAGACGCGAUUUAAAGUCGCUAAUAAACCCUAAAACAACUCUAUUUGAUAUUUUUCGACUUUUAGGGCUCAGGAGGCGACCCCAAACAAGUUCUUAACAGUUUUUCACCAUUUUUUAGGCUUAAGACUUAGAACAAGCGGAAAGAAUCUGAUAAGGGAAGAUCCAAAUGUCUUAGGGGAUUCAAGAUUUGAGGGCAUAUUUUGGCGGCUAUUGACAAACCGCGUUUAGAAGACCAGUGAGUGUUUUCAAAUUCAAGGGUGAUCUAGUUCUUUCGGGCUGCCUUGAGUUCUCUUUUGUCUAAGUCCACUCUCUUCGAACUCAGACUAUUCGUUAAGGUGUUGUUUAGUUUUGGAGUUGUACCCCUUGUUCUUAGACUUGUUAAUUAGUAGAGUUUUGGUGUAAUGACUUUCAGGUUCUAAGGUUUAUAUUUCCGCAUUUGUAUUACUUCAUUUGUUUAGUUCCUUAAUAAAUAAUUUAGCUAUUUAAUAC